rnacentral:rRNA from 1 species
UUUGCGACUAUCGUCGUGUCGUGAGAUGUUGGGUUAAGUCCCGUAACGAGCGCAACCCUUGUCCUUAGUUACCAGCACGUAAUGGUGGGCACUCUAAGGAGACUGCCGGUGACAAACCGGAGGAAGGUGGGGAUGACGUCAAGUCAUCAUGGCCCUUACGGCCUGGGCUACACACGUGCUACAAUGGUCGGUACAGAGGGUUGCCAAGCCGCGAGGUGGAGCUAAUCCCACAAAACCGAUCGUAGUCCGGAUCGCAGUCUGCAACUCGACUGCGUGAAGUCGGAAUCGCUAGUAAUCGCGAAUCAGAAUGUCGCGGUGAAUACGUUCCCGGGCCUUGUACACACCGCCCGUCACACCAUGGGAGUGGGUUGCACCAGAAGUAGCUAGUCUAACCUUCGGGAGGACGGUACCACCUACCCCAC